rnacentral:rRNA from 1 species
UUUCUUACGGGGGGGAGCACAGUAGGGAAUCUUCCACAAUGGGCGCAAGCCUGAUGGAGCAACACCGCGUGAGUGAAGAAGGGUUUCGGCUCGUAAAGCUCUGUUGUUGGAGAAGAACGUGCGUGAGAGUAACUGUUCACGCAGUGACGGUAUCCAACCAGAAAGUCACGGCUAACUACGUGCCAGCAGCCGCGGUAAUACGUAGGUGGCAAGCGUUAUCCGGAUUUAUUGGGCGUAAAGCGAGCGCAGGCGGUUGCUUAGGUCUGAUGUGAAAGCCUUCGGCUUAACCGAAGAAGGGCAUCGGAAACCGGGCGACUUGAGUGCAGAAGAGGACAGUGGAACUCCAUGUGUAGCGGUGGAAUGCGUAGAUAUAUGGAAGAACACCAGUGGCGAAGGCGGCUGUCUGGUCUGCAACUGACGCUGAGGCUCGAAAGCAUGGGUAGCGAACAGGAUUAGAUACCCUGGUAGUCCAUGCCGUAAACGAUGAGUGCUAGGUGUUGGAGGGUUUCCGCCCUUCAGUGCCGGAGCUAACGCAUUAAGCACUCCGCCUGGAGACAACGA